AGAGGCUUUUUAAAAAAAAAUUCUAAGGCAUUUGUAUCAUUUUAGAAUAUAGCACACGGACUGUAUCAAUGCCCGGUAUCACUAAACUAUGGUGAUAUCACUACCCAUACCAGUCAAUUCCGCGUCCCGAGGAGCUGAGACUUGGACUCGAGCAGCACCGGCCAUGCAGGGCUGAGAGGUAAAAGUAGACAUUUGUGUUUUCAAGCACAGGUUGCUCAGGUUUGUUGUGGCUUGAAAGACAAAUGGCCUCAUCCUCAGAGACCCUGUGACUUGUGGACGUUAAAGCGUUCUCUGUAUGUGUGGAAGCUUGACUAGGAUUCAGUGAAAUUUAUUUGACAGAGAGAGCGAAAACAAGCAGGGGGUGUGGCAGGCAGAGGGAGAAACAGGCUCCCCACUGAGCAGGGAGCCCGAUGUCGGACUCGAUCCCAGGACUUGGGAUCAUGACCCGAGCCGAAAGCAGACACUUAACCAACUCAGCCACCCAAGCGCCCCAACUUCAUUUCUCUUAAGCUUUGCUCUGGCCUUUCCCUGGCCAUCCACAGUAAGAUGCCUGCGGACCCCUGGAAUUUGUGAUCCUUACGAAGACAUAGUCAGAGACUGUGACUAUACAUAUCUGUUUUCCAUCCAUCACUGAGCAUUUAUGGAGCCCUGGUCCAGAUCCAUUCCUGCGUUUUCCAAGUUACACCUUGGAAAUAUGGCGCCUGGGUGGCUCAGUUGGUUAGGCGACUGCCUUCAGCUCAGGUCAUGAUCCCGGAGUCCCGGGAUCGAGUCCCGCAUGGGGCUCCCUGCUCGGCAGGGAGUCUGCUUCUCCCUCUGACCCUCCCCCCUCUCAUGUGCUCUCUCUCUUUCUCUCUGUCUCAAAUAAAUAAAUAAAAUCUUUAAAAAAAUAAAUA